CUGGACCAGGAGCACGAGGCGCACCGCCCAGACGGCGCGUGGCCAGAUGGCUGGCCGAGGAGCGUAGCCGCGGUGACCGGGACGCCACCACCGAGGAGGCCGCGCUGGGCGGGCGGAGGCGCUGCAGGUUUGCAGUGAAAAGACGGAGAGCGUGAAGGCACUGAGGAAGACAGCGACGUCGCGGUGCCAGGAGAGAAGCUGGCGGGAGGCGCCCCUCUGUGGGGGAGGCGGUGGAGGAAGAACUUCGUGCAAAGGCCCUGAGGCAGGAGGAGAGCGAGGGCCCAGCGAGGGCCCAGCGCGGGCCCCGAGUGCGGGAGGGUGCAGAGCAGACCCGGAGGCGGGCUGAAGGUCAGAGUGGAGAGGGCUUUGUCGGCGGGGCCAGAGCUUGUUCUAAAGGCCCGGGGAGGACAGUGAACGGCCCUCGGCGUUGAGGAGACACGCACCGUGUAUCCAGCGUCGUGUUCACGCCUGUCUCGCGGGCUCACACGUGUGAUGGACGCGGUGACUGCGGCUCACAGCCUCGGCCACCUGAACCCAGCCACCUUUUGUUCUCUGAGCUGCUGGCUCGCGUUCAUCUGCCACAGUAGGCCCGGAGCUGAGUUUGGGAUCUGGAACUGGGGAACCCCCGACUGCUCCAUGAAAUAGCAAAAUGUGGUUGUGCGGGACAUGGCAUUCCCGGCCACCAGAGAAGGCUCUCUACCUGCACGUCUGGAACAUGUGGCUUCCUCGGCUGACUCAGCAGGACGAGUGAGCCUCAGAGCCUAGAGAACGGAGCCCCAGCUUUCCCUGCCUCGGCAACUGUCACCCCCAUUGACAUCCACUGGCCAUUCAGGCCCACUGCCCCUCCCACCCUCCCACCUGCAAGAGUGGGGAAGUGCCGUCUUCUGUGAGUAGAAGGAGAAAGGAAACAUCUAAACACUAGACCAUCAGGCACAAGUGGUGAAUGAACAGCUCACUGACCCCUUACUGUUUCCUGAGAAGGUCCACGUAAGAAAGAUGUACUGAUAAUGACCGAGAAAUUCCAGCCGCUGAAAGAUCACAUUGAGACAAAAUCACAAUCCAUUCUGUGCACAGGUGUCAUGAUGACAGCAUACACACGUCUAAUGCCACACAGUAACCAUGUUCCAUGGAUCUUCUGUCUUACGAAGGUGUUUCCUGGGUGCUAUGAUUGUGACCCAGCGACGCGGGCGUGUUUGUACCUUUGAAAGCAAGUUGUUGCUGCUCGUCACUUGCCUGACUUUCCCUUUUGCUGUGUGCUGACACACGCUUCCUCUGGGCUAAAGUUUGGAGACCACUGGGGAGGAGUGGAGCCCUGAUGAGAAGGGGGCUGGAGUGACGGAUACUCUCACGCAGGAGGCUCGGGUGGGCCCACGGUCUGGGAGCCACCCAGAGGAGUCACUGAGGGAGUGGGGCCCCGGUGCUGGGGAGCAUCUCCGAGUUUUCUGUGACUCUCCACCUCUGAACCUCAGGCUCUUCAUCUGUAGGAUGGGGGUGAUUCAUGCCCUGGUAACCACCCUGUACAGGCCUGGGAAACGAGAGUGGCUGGAUGCGGGGCCAUCUGUAGCGUUCAGGAUGUUUGGGCUCGCGCUGAGGCUUUUGCUGAGCGUACUGUGAGCUGGAUGGCUCCUGAGAGGUGGAGGAUAGGGGCAGAGCCAGCUCCGUUGAAGGAGAGUGGGGUUUGGAGUGAAGCAAGGAAGGCAGAAACCUGGUUGAAGAGGAAACUUGGGAAAGGCGGUUAUGAUUCCAACUGACAGAUGGAUAGAUGUUGUUCAGUAAUAGAUGGCAGGACCCUCUCUUUCUUUCCAUGUAAUUCAUUUUCACUAAAGUUUGCCUCAGUCA